UACAGAGGGGGCAAGCGUUGUCCGGAAUCAUUGGGCGUAAAGCGCGUGUAGGCGGCUUGGUAAGUCUGCUCUGAAAGCCCGGGGCUCAACCCCGGGAGGCGGGUGGAUACUGUCAAGCUCGAGUCCGGAAGAGGAGUGUGGAAUUCCUGGUGUAGCGGUGAAAUGCGUAGAGAUCCGGCGGAACACCGGUGGUGAAGGCGGUCUCCUGGUCCGAGGGCCGACGCUGAGGCGCGAGAGCGUGGGGAGCGAACAGG
rnacentral:rRNA from 1 species